GCUGAAGUAGGUCCCAAGGGUAUGGCUGUUCGCCAUUUAAAGUGGUACGCGAGCUGGGUUUAGAACGUCGUGAGACAGUUCGGUCCCUAUCUGCCGUGGGCGCUGGAGAACUGAGGGGGGCUGCUCCUAGUACGAGAGGACCGGAGUGGACGCAUCACUGGUGUUCGGGUUGUCAUGCCAAUGGCACUGCCCGGUAGCUAAAUGCGGAAGAGAUAAGUGCUGAAAGCAUCUAAGCACGAAACUUGCCCCGAGAUGAGUUCUCCCUGAGACUUUAAGUCUCCUGAAGGAACGUUGAAGACGACGACGUUGAUAGGCCGGGUGUGUAAGCGCAGCGAUGCGUUGAGCUAACCGGUACUAAUGAACCGUGAGGCUUAACCUUACAACGCCGAAG
rnacentral:rRNA from 1 species